GUGGCGUUAGCUCAGCCUGGUUAGAGCGUCGGGUUGUGGUCCCGAAGGCCGGGGGUUCAAGUCCCCUACGCCACCCA
rnacentral:tRNA from 1 species